rnacentral:lncRNA from 1 species
UUGCCUCUACCUUUAAUCGGCUACGCCACACUCCAACGACCUCCGACAACCUUCUGCUUACCGUCCCAUCAUACCGCUAGUGCUCUCUGCAGCCGCCCAGACUCAGUGCGGGCCAAGGCUGAGUCACCUCAGCCACCGUACGUGGACACCGCCCAGCGUCGGCCGCGCCGCACUCCCUCUAUAUGUUAAGGAUUUUAUAGGUUGGUGGAUUUCGUAAAGUUGAAUGGAGUCUUGAAGAGUUGAUUGCGGAAGUUUGAAGAAAAGUUUCAAAUUGAAGAACAAAGA